rnacentral:rRNA from 1 species
UUCUUUCACUUGGGGGACAGGCAUCUGUGAUUUAUCUGUGAUUUGUCAUUUGAUGUGCGCCAAUUUUAUGUUUUCUGCAUUUGGUACAGGCAUCUGUGAUUUUCAGAUUGAGUAACGUCGAGUCAUUAUGCUCUCAUUUUUGGAGAUAUUCAUGUGUUACAAAGAAAGUUAUAGGUUUCCUUUGAAAAUAGGAUUCUCAACAAUUAUCGUUCUAAUUGAAAAUUGAAAUGUUUUGAUGAAGGAGGAAUUAUUAGGAAUCAUUGGUUAGUUAUUCAAUGGUGGACAGGAUAUAAGUUUUGUACAUACCGCCCGUCAAGCAAAAAGCAGAGUUGAAUAUGAAAAUGGCAUAAAAUAAAAGCUAUUUUUUGUGCUUUCUAAUUUGUGUUAAGUCGAAACAUGGUUGCCAAUAAGGAAUUAUUGGCAGGA